UUGACCGUGCCAAAGGUAGCAUAAUCAUUUGUCUUUUAAUUAAAGGCUUGUAUGAAUGGUUGGAUGAGAUAUAAUCUAUUUUUAUUUAAUUAAAAAUGAAUUUUAAUUUUUAGUAAAAAUGCUAAAAUAAAAAAUAUAGACGAGAAGACCCUAUAAAUCUUUAUUAUUUUUUGAUUAAUUUAUUAAUAGAAUAAUAAAUUUAUUAAUUAAAAAAUAAUUUUAUUGGGGUGAUAAUGAAAUUUAAUAAACUUUUAUUUUAUUUUAUAAAUAUAAUUAAUUUAAUGAUCCAUUUUUAAUGAUUAUAAAAUUAAGUUACUUUAGGGAUAACAGCGUAAUUAUUUUAAAGAGUUCAUAUCGAUAAAAUAGUUUGCGUACCUCCGCUGUUGAAUUGUAGUAGAGACAGAUGCAACGCGGUGGCAGAA
rnacentral:rRNA from 1 species